UCCAUAUUACGUGUGAGAUAUUCCGUGA
rnacentral:sRNA from 1 species